GACGAACGCUGGCAGCGUGCUUAACACAUGCAAGUCGAACGGAAAGGCCCUGCUUUUGUGGGGUGCUCGAGUGGCGAACGGGUGAGUAACACGUGAGUAACCUGCCCUUGACUUUGGGAUAACUUCAGGAAACUGGGGCUAAUACCGGAUAGGAGCUCCUGCUGCAUGGUGGGGGUUGGAAAGUUUCGGCGGUUGGGGAUGGACUCGCGGCUUAUCAGCUUGUUGGUGGGGUAGUGGCCUACCAAGGCUUUGACGGGUAGCCGGCCUGAGAGGGUGACCGGCCACAUUGGGACUGAGAUACGGCCCAGACUCCUACGGGAGGCAGCAGUGGGGAAUAUUGCACAAUGGGCGGAAGCCUGAUGCAGCAACGCCGCGUGCGGGAUGACGGCCUUCGGGUUGUAAACCGCUUUCGCCUGUGACGAAGCGUGAGUGACGGUAAUGGGUAAAGAAGCACCGGCUAACUACGUG
rnacentral:rRNA from 1 species